GAUAGCUUCCAUUGUGGAUUAUAGUCCACACUACUAAAUAAUGCCUUAAGGGAAGCAUUUCAAGCAUCUUCAAAAAUUCGAAAUGUAGCUGUAGGCUACAAGUGUAAGGCAAGAUAAGAUUGCCUUUCAAUUAACAAAGACAGAAAGCAAAAGCAGAAGGAUUAAUUAAAUUAAAUGGGCAUCAUAAUAACAAAAUCAAAGGAAACACAGUAGGCUCUAGCAAAAAAGAUCCCCCAACACCAAGGCUGUCCGUUGCCUUUCCAGUCCUUCCCUUAAAUAUUAUUUACCCUAAGGUAAAUUAAAAUAUAUAAGCAUGAGCUCUCACUCUCGCUCUCACUGUCACUCACUCUCUGCCUGCUGUAUUUUACUUUCCCCAAUUGCCCUUCAGCCAUUCCAAAACUUCACCCGAAGUUGCAUUAUAAACCCUAAAAUUUCUCAAACUCUUGCCUCACACACACCUGCACCGCCGUCAAAGCCGUUGUCACUGUCGCUACCAGGUGCGAGGUAAGUCCUCCUCCAUUCCUCCUCUUCUUCUUCUAGUGUGGUGCGAUUCCCAGGCCAGCGAGACAGCCGCGACUCUAUUGUGUUUUUUAGAUUUUCCUUUUUUUUUAAGAAAUGCAUUUUGGACUCAAAGAGUCGCAUUUCCAGCUUUUGCAAAAUACCGAAACAGGCCGGAAACAUUUCCACUGCAGUUUCCAUCGCACAGGGAA
rnacentral:misc_RNA from 1 species